rnacentral:rRNA from 1 species
UACAGAGGGUGCAAGCGUUAAUCGGAAUUACUGGGCGUAAAGCGCGCGUAGGUGGUUUGUUAAGUCGAAUGUGAAAUCCCCGGGCUCAACCUGGGAACUGCAUGCAAAACUGGCAAGCUAGAGUAUGGUAGAGGGUGGUGGAAUUUCCUGUGUAGCGGUGAAAUGCGUAGAUAUAGGAAGGAACACCAGUGGCGAAGGCGACCACCUGGACUGAUACUGACACUGAGGUGCGAAAGCGUGGGGAGCAAACAGG